CUCAAAUUGACCGGUCAAAAUUUUGCCAUGCCUUUAACAUGGAGUAGUAUAAAUAUUUUGAGUCUUUGAGAGUUCUGACAAAUGCAGGUGAUACCAUGUCUGUGUAAUCUGGUCCAAAUGUUCUAUAAGCGUAUAAGAGAGAAAUUCCAUUGACAGGUUUCAUAUGUUGCAACUGGUUAAUGCAAGUGUUAUACAAAUGUUUAAGUCAAACGCGUUAUAUGGCCGUACGGGAUCCCUUCUGUAAAAAAUAAAAAAUAAACCCUUUGGUACCAGAAAUCUUAAAUAAAUCCAAUACAAACUAAAAUUGGUAUACCUUACAAUAAUAUGUUCUGAAUGCAGC